rnacentral:rRNA from 1 species
AUUGAACGCUGGCGGCAGGCCUAACACAUGCAAGUCGAGCGGAGCGGCGGACGGGUGAGUAAUGCCUAGGAAUCUGCCUGGUAGUGGGGGAUCACGUCCGUACCCGGGCGCUAAUACCGCAUCCUAUCCGCUGAGCCUAGGUCGGAUUACCUCUUUGGUGGGGUAAUGGCCUACCAAGGCGACGAUACGGAACUGGUCUGAGAGGAUGAUCAUUCCGACUGGAACGGAGACACGGUCCAGACUCCAACGGGAGGCAGAAGAGGGGAAGAUUGGACAAGGGGCGAAAGCCUGAUACAGAAAUGCCGCGUGUGGGAAGAAGGUCUUCGGAGUGUAAAGCACUGGAAGUUGGAAGGCGGUACCAACAGAAUAAGCACCGGCUAACUUCGUGCCAGCAGCCGCGGUAAUAC